UCCGAUUUGACAUCGGCAGUCCCCCUAGAGUCCCCGACAUGACUCGCUGGCAACUAGGGGCAGGGGUUGCGCUCGUUGCGGGACUUAACCCAACACCUCACGGCACGAGCUGACGACAACCAUGCACCACCUGUAUACGGCCCCGAAGGACACCGCAUCUCUGCGGCUUUUCCGUAUAUUUCAAGCCCUGGUAAGGUUCUUCGCGUUGCGUCGAAUUAAGCCACAUGCUCCGCCGCUUGUGCGGGCCCCCGUCAAUUCCUUUGAGUUUCAGCCUUGCGGCCGUACUCCCCAGGCGGGGCACUUCAUGCGUUUGCGUCGGCCCCCAGGGGGUCGCUCCCCCAGAGACCUAGUGCCCAUCGUUUACGGCGUGGACUAC
rnacentral:misc_RNA from 1 species